rnacentral:rRNA from 1 species
AGCGAACGCUGGCGGCAUGCCUAACACAUGCAAGUCGCACGGGUCCGCUUCGGCCGGUUGCUGGCGGGCGGGUGAGGUACGCGUAGGGUUCUGUCUUCUGGGGGGUGAUAACCGCGGGAAACUGUGGCUAAGACCGCCUGACGCGCCGGUCUGAGAGCCGGUGCCAGAGGCGCCCAUCGCGAGGUGUGCGUCGCGGGAGGGUGAGCCCGCGUCGGAUUAGCGGUAUGGCGGGGGAAUGGGCCACCAAGGCGUCGAUCGGUAGCUGGUCUGAGAGGGUGAUCAGCGACACUGGGACUGAGACACGGCCCAGACUCCUACGGGAGGCAGCAGUGGGGAAUAUUGGAAAAUGGGGGCAAGCCUGAUCGAGCAAUGCCGCGUGAGUGAAGAAGGUCUUCGGGUUGUAAAGCCCUUUCGGCGGGGACGAUGGUGACGGUACCCGCAGAAGAAGCCCCGGCUAACUUCGUG